rnacentral:lncRNA from 1 species
CCCAGCAUGACCUUUCCUCCAACGACUCACAGUUCUUGAGGGAAACCGGCAGACUCCCGUCUGCUUUUCCACUGUGACAAAGGUCCAUGCCGAUCAGGUGACAGGGAAGGAUGGGUGGGCUGGGCGGGAGCGAGACCUGGGCGAGCCUGGCACUCCUCCGCCAACAAACACCCGCCCUGCGGCCGGUUCUGCUUCUACUGUUGCUCGGACAAACAGGAGUGGAGGACCGUUUUCCUGAGACUCUCAGAUCAUUGUGCUUCUCAGUGGCCGCCCCAGCGGUGGGAGUGGCUGUGAUGCAGGCACCUGGGGGCUGCGGGGCUGUGGGGCCGAGGGGCUGGGGGGCUGCAGUCAGCCUCAGAGCCACUGGGGGCCUCUGACCCUCAAGUGCGUCACAGUGAAGUUGGGGAAGAGUGACAGCAGCAGGGGACAAUGAUUUCUGUGGGCCCUACAUGGACGCCAUGUGUGGGUUAGGGCAGGAGGGGCGCAUCUCAUUAAGGAGCCACAUCGAAGCACAAUCCCUGAACCACUGUAAUCAGAUGUAAAAUCUGGUUUCCGUCUGAAUUAUGUGUGGUGGACACUGGCUGUCCUUGGAAAAGCCUAGAACACACCCUGCUCUCAUUUCUUCUCUGAUGUGAAGAGUCCACACCCCAAGCGUCCUGGAGGGUCUUCUUUGCAGGGUUAAGCGGGUCGCUGACUUUUGUGCGGGGCGGGGGGGGGGGGGUCACUGCAAGAUUUUUUUUGACAAGCUGCUGUUCCUCUGCAGUACAGUAAUAGCCUAAUUAAUUUUAAUAUUCGCCUGACUGUGCAUCUAAGCCAGUUGGAGGAUGUGUCACAGGAGGAGGUACAAACACGAGACAUGCCAGCAGCAACGUGAGGGAGGUGGCCUCAGGUGGGGGCAGGGCCUUGGGUGGGGGUUGAAGG